GCUGGGUUUGGUGGUGCAUGCUUGUAAUCCCAGUGGCUUGGGAGGCUGAGACAGGAGAAUCGCAAGUUCAAAGCCAGCCUCAGCAACUGCAAGGCGCUGAGCAACUCAGAGACCGUGUCUCUA
rnacentral:sRNA from 1 species